rnacentral:rRNA from 1 species
AUUGAACGCUGGCGGCAGGCCUAACACAUGCAAGUCGAGCGGGAACUUCGGUUCUAGCGGCGGACGGGUGAGUAAUGCGUAGGAAGCUACCCGAUAGAGGGGGAUACCAGCUGGAAACGACUGUUAAUACCGCAUAAUGUCUACGGACCAAAGUGUGGGACCUUCGGGCCACAUGCUAUCGGAUGCGCCUACGUGGGAUUAGCUAGUUGGUGAGGUAAUGGCUCACCAAGGCGACGAUCCCUAGCUGGUUUGAGAGGAUGAUCAGCCACACUGGAACUGAGACACGGUCCAGACUCCUACGGGAGGCAGCAGUGGGGAAUAUUGGACAAUGGGCGAAAGCCUGAUCCAGCCAUGCCGCGUGUGUGAAGAAGGCCUUCGGGUUGUAAAGCACUUUCAGCGAGGAGGAAGGAGUUGUAGUUAAUAGCUGCAACUUUUGACGUUACUCGCAGAAGAAGCACCGGCUAACUCUGUGCCAGCCGCCGCAGUAACAC